rnacentral:tRNA from 1 species
GGUGGAGUGGCAGAGUGGCCUAUUGCGCUGGUCUUGAAAACCAGUAGCGCCUCGCGCUUCGGGGGUUCAAAUCCCUCCUCCACCG